rnacentral:rRNA from 1 species
AUUGAACGCUGGCGGCAGGCCUAACACAUGCAAGUCGAACGAGUGGCGGACGGGUGAGUAAUGUCUGGGAAACUUCCUGAUGGAGGGGGAUAACUACUGGAAACGGUAGCUAAUACCGCCUACCAUCGGAUGUGCCCAGAUGGGAUUAGCUAGUAGGUGGGGUAAAGGCUCACCUAGGCGACGAUCCCUAGCUGGUCUGAGAGUAUGAACGGCCAAACUGGAACGGGGACACGGUCCAGACGCCUACGGGAGGAAGCAGUGGGGAAUAUUGGACAAGGGGCGCAAGCCUGAGGCAGAAAGGCCGGGGGGAGGAAGAAGGCCUUCGGGUUGUAAAGUACUUUCAGCGGGGAGGCGUUACCCGAAGAAGAAGCAACGGCUAACUACGUGCCAGCAGCCGCGGUAAUUC